rnacentral:rRNA from 1 species
GACGAACGCUGGCGGCGUGCUUAACACAUGCAAGUCGAACGGAAGGACCCUGCUUUUGUGGGGUGCUCGCGUGGCGAACGGGUGAGUAACACGUGAGUAACCUGCCCUGGACUUUGGGAUAACUUCAGGAAACUGGGGCUAAUACCGGAUAGGCGCUCCUGCUGCAUGGUGGGGGUUGGAAAGUUUCGGCGGUUGGGGAUGGACUCGGGGCUUAUCAGCUUGUUGGUGGGGGAGUGGCUUACCAAGGCUUUGACGGGUAGCCGGCCUGAGAGGGUGACCGGCCACAUUGGGACUGAGAGACGGCCCAGACUCCUACGGGAGGCAGCAGUGGGGAAUAUUGCACAAUGGGCGGAAGCCUGAUGCAGCAACGCCGCGUGCGGGAUGACGGCCUUCGGGUUGUAAACCGCUUUCGCCGGUGACGAAGCGUGAGUGACGGUAAUGGGUAAAGAAGCACCGGCUAACUACGUG